UACCAGCACCCCGAGUGGUCGGGACGUUUUAUUGGGCCUAAAGCAUCCGUAGCCGGUUCUACAAGUCUUCCGUUAAAUCCACCUGCUUAACAGAUGGGCUGCGGAAGAUACUAUAGAGCUAGGAGGCGGGAGAGGCAAGCGGUACUCGAUGGGUAGGGGUAAAAUCCGUUGAUCCAUUGAAGACCACCAGUGGCGAAGGCGGCUUGCCAGAACGCGCUCGACGGUGAGGGAUGAAAGCUGGGGGAGCAAACAGG
rnacentral:rRNA from 1 species